UGAGGGUUGAUGAAUGCUUAAUUGAACUCAACAGAUAGCAGGGUCCUGCUUGAGUUUGUUUCCUUGUGUAGACCAUGACCAUUGGCUUAAGCUGGAGUCUGCCUUACCAAGUUGUCCAAAGACCCGAUGGCCUGGUGUUAGUGCACUGGUGGCAGAAGAACGUGCUCGUUUGGAGUGAGACAUUCUUGGGAGGAGAUCAAUUUCUUGAACCUUAGUCUCCUCCUGUGUGACAUGGGGGUGAUGUUAUACAAAUAUCUCUCUGACUGCGUUGCUGGGAGCCGUACAUGUGAUUGCUAAUGCUGAAAGUGGAACCCGCGCCUGGCACAUAGUAAGCGCUCAGCACUUGGCGGCUCUGGAGUGCUUAGAAGACAGAAGCCAGAUCGCUGUCCUGGACAGGGGGUAAUAUAUGGCAUCGAGCUCCGACUGAGAAUUGAAUUCAACCUCAGCCGGAGAAUUAGAACAUUGUGAUUAGAAACAAGAAGAGAGAAGGGACAAAACAACCUGUCUUCAAGUGCAUGAUGACAGAGCACAGACUUUCCUGGCAGCCCGAGGGGCUGGGGAAGGACAGGGCAGAUCAUAUUAAUAACGAUAAAUUAUAUCUGCACUAUGAUUUAUGGGGCCUGAUGUGCUUCUCAUUAUGCUACCUUACAGUACCAUAGGAAGGGCUUAUUAUCCUCAUUACUGUGUGCUGCAGUGGUUUUAGUGUAAUUGUUGCUGUUAGUGACCGUAGUGUUAUCCGCGCUAUUAUGGAUGUUAUUUCUCCUUGUUUCCAAACUGGGGAAACUGAGGCUCAGAGGGAGCUAGCGACUUAACCAAGGAAAAGGUUGGUGCUAGCAUUCAAAUCUAGGUUUUUUUAGUCUUGGAGUUUUAUUCUGGCUGCAUUCUACUCUCUUAUAAUCCCCUUUCCACUCUGCCAUUUUGUAACCUCUUUGGUCUGGGGAGUCUUGGUCCCUCUUUCCCACAAUGGACAGUUUUUUUUUUCCUUGUUAGCCAGGGGUGAUGGGGCUCAAGGGCCCCUUCCAUCUGACCACCAGGGCCUCCCUCUGUCUAUAACCAACCAGCACUCCAUCCCCAGGCCUAUUCCCCCUCAUGGGAGCUCCAAGUUCAGUAAGAAUCCCUGCAGGCAGCUACCCAUUGCAAGGCAGGCAGGGGUGACACAGAUUUGAACUUGAACUUUCAAGUCUUCCCCUUGGCUGGCCUCACUUUUGUCUUUGAACCCAGCAGCAACCUGGCCGGUGGUUUACCCCACUCAUUCUCCUUCACUGCCUUCUCCUUUCCUUCUCUUCUCCCAAAAUCUGCUCAGGAUUGAGAUGGUUAGGGACCAGGUUCAUUUAGCAUUUGCAGGAUGAGCUAUUUCAAGAAUGUGCAGAUUCAGUCUCGGAAAUGGCAGAGGAGAAGCCUGGCUUGGCUUCUGAGCAGGAGAACAAAUGAACCCCCGACCCCCCCUUCCCUAUCCUGCGAUUUCCUUUGUCUCAAUCCAAAAUCCCCCUUUACAUGAUCCUGGAGGCUUCCUAAUAAAACAGAACCGUAACUUUAUCUAAGACGAGUGCAGCACAUGUAGAAUGGAUAAGGUGUAAUUAAUAACAGAAAAUAAUGCUUCCCCCUCCUGACCUUUCACCCUCAUAUAAGUGUCUUAAGUUUUAUGACAGCUAAGCACAAAAUUAGCGUGUGCAUGCAUGCGUGCAUGUGUGUGUGUGCGCGUGUACUUCAGUGUGUGCGUUUGAGCUGAACCUAUGUGGGGCCAAUACGUCUGUCUAGUGAGUAUUCACCUAACCCUGGCUGGAACUGGUUUACGUUUCUGGGUAGACUGGCCUCUCGCUGAACCCAGGAAUUGCCUGAAACUGAUCUGAUUUCUUGAAGUGAGGAUUCUGUCUGGAUCUCAAAAUAUCCCAUGUCUAUUUGCAUGCAAAUGUUUGGACAAUGCAGGAAAAUAUAUAUAUAUAUAUAUAAAAAUAAAUAAAAGGAUGGCAUGUGAGCAUGUGCAUGCAGACACACGCACACACACUCACAUACACACACAUUCACAUACACAUAUACACACACAUUCACACACACACUCACACACACACACUAGCCUUUGGGUUGUCUACGAUAUUUUAGAACCGCGGUGGAUGCUGGGGAAGGGCUAUUGAUACUUAUCUGUGUACCUAACAAUGGGCAGGAAAGCAAGAUAAGCAUUUCAUUGGUUUUGAUGCUGGAAAUUCUUGGGACAUACAAAGAUCUCAUGAUGGAAAAUGCUCUCUUCAGCAACUGCAGUGCUCCUGAUCCCCAGCAUGGCAUCUUCCUUGCUGUUUAUCUAGGGGCCAGUGAAAGACAUGUGCUCGACUUAGCAAGACAGGGGCUAAACAAACCAUGGUGAGGAGAACGGCACUUACCUGUCUUCCCAGACUGCUGUCUGCAGUCGAAAUUGAAGUCACUGGGCUGGCCCGAGCUAUUGGUUUCUCGUGAUUCAUUACGUUUGAUGUUCAACUUUUCUCGAAGUCCGCAACACCAACCUCUGGGUUAAUGGAAGCCACACCGGCCAUGAAGCCAGUGGCUUUGAAUCCUCCCUGGAUGGGGAGGCCUGGGCCGGGCAGAGUGAGCUGCUUGCUUUUGAUCAGCAGUGCUGAUGUGAACCAGAGGUCACGCAUGUUUGGGGCCUGUGUGUUAGCUCUACCAGACAGCAGCAACUGGGCCUCGACACUCCCUCCCACCCCAAGCCCCUUGAGUUUCGUUUUCCAUGGUUGUCCCUCUGUGGGCUGACUUUUUCAAGACCCCUAGGGCACCAUAAAGACUUUUGCUGGGGGGAGAUCCAGGGCCCUAAAUCACUGGAGAAGUCUCCUUUGUCCACUCCAAGGGUCUUCCUCUUUCCAUCCUUGACUGUUCCAGACACAGACAGAUACACCAAUUCCCACUCCCUCAGGGAAUUUCUGCUCACCAGUGACAGGUGGAUUUGCAGGGAGAUCUCUUUCUCCCAGUAGAGUCUUUGGGUUGUUGAGUUCUUUUAUGGGCAUGCUUGAACUCUGGAGGGCCCCCAAACUGACAGCCACCUCUGUCUGCUAAAUCAAUCGUAAAUUUUCCUGGCAUUAUGUCAUCCUGUCAUCCUUUUACAGAUGCUUUUGCCUGCCAUAUUUUUAUGGCUCUUCUUCCAAGAGGGGCUGCAUGGAGGGUCAGCGUUAUUUAUCUCGAAGGAGAAGAGCAGGAGAAUCUCUUAUCGCUGGUAUCAGAAAGUGGGAUUUCCCACUUAUCACCCCCUCUUUGGCUUUGGAGUUUAAAGGCAACACCAACUGGCUGGAUCGAGUAGUUUAGGGAGUUCCUUAGGCUGCCAUCUUUAUAAAGUUGACAAUGACCAGAAAAUGGGGGACUUCCACCCUCCCCUAAUUUCAUAUCCUGCUAGAUACUUAAAAUCAUAGUAGACCAGCCCUGGAGUUUGUUUCCAGGACAAGAAGAUCUUGAUUGGAUUAACGUAUUUCCCAACGGAGGCUCUGAGGCUUUGGCAAACACAAUAAGAGGAGUAGCUCUUAAACAACAACACUUGAAAAAUUAAACGAGUAAUAUAUAUUCAUUAUAGGAGAAGUAGAAAAGGCAGAUAAGGAAAAA